CUCGCCGAGGGGCGGAACCCGGAGUGCAGCGGCGUUUUCCAGGUUCCCAGCGCGCGGACACUCUGACCCUCCUAGGCACCCGGACUCGGUCCUCUGGUCUCGGGUGCCUCAGUUUCUCCGUUUGUGAAACAGAGCCCAGUAUCUUGGUCACACUACGCGCUUUCAUCCUCCCCUUCUGAAAGCUCUUUCAGGGUAAACGCCAUGUACCACCACGGCUGGCAUUAACGCAGUGACAAAGACUGAACCCAAGGCUGCAUGUGAACUAGAACUUGACUGUAAGGCCCAGUUGCUAAAGAUACCACACGCUUGUGUCACAGGACAUGGAGAAAUCAAGCUGGUAAUAACCUGGAAGUUUCAUUCCUACUGGCUAGCUUUCUUAGUGCGCAAAGGUGCUGCACAGUCUGCUGCGGAGAGAAAGAACAGCUUUAGUCAGCUGUAAGUCACAACACCCGACUUGGAGAGAGGGCUUCUUUGUUGCAAUAAUGGCAUGGAUGUUAUGGGAGGGAUUAACCACUUUCAGACUGGAUUUAUUGGCAGCUUUGAGAAAAGGACACCAAGAUCAGAUGUGGUGAUGUCUGCUUUUAAUCCUAGAACUUGAGAGGCCUAGGCA